GGCUGCCCAGAGCUCACAUCCAUCCUGCAACUUCUGAUGCACCGCAAGCUGCAAACAAGUUCUGGCACAUCAGGUGGCUCGGGGGUGGAGGAGCCUGCUUCUUGAUUGCACCAGGCAUUAAGGAGGCGAGGAGUGGGUCUUGUUUCCUGGGUGCACCUAGAAGGCCAGGAAGGCCCUGGGACGUUAGGCAGCAAAGGGGAUAACUCAGUUCCGAAUCAGGCCCAUAAUUCCAUGUGGCUAACCAUGGAGGGAAAAUAACAUGGAUAUCUUCCCUAUGCUGUGAACUUUCAAGACCAAGGUGGAGGCUGCAGAAGAUGCUUUUGUCCAUGCUGCCCAUGAUACUCUGCAGAGAGGUGACUGUGGUUUCCAGACCUGGCGAUACAGAACCUUCCAUGAAUGUUACAUUCACUGUAAAAUGGAAACGAGAAGCCACCUGAGGUAAAGGCUCAAAAAGUCACCGCUCAGAGCACAUUUGGGCUACAGACCUAAGAAAGUGGCAACUCCCAGCUGGUUUCCUGUGGGACACAGAUUCCCAAACUACUCUGUGGGCCUGACGGUUUGCCGAGAGCGGGCUAGGAACACCUGCUGGCUCUCCUUGUUUAAAGAGAAAGAUGGAAGGGGGGUGCGGGUUGAAAUG